rnacentral:rRNA from 1 species
AGUGAACGCUGGCGGUAGGCCUAACACAUGCAAGUCGAACGGCAGCACAGUAAGAGCUUGCUCUUACGGGUGGCGAGUGGCGGACGGGUGAGGAAUACAUCGGAAUCUACUUUUUCGUGGGGGAUAACGUAGGGAAACUUACGCUAAUACCGCAUACGACCUACGGGUGAAAGCAGGGGAUCUUCGGACCUUGCGCGAUUGAAUGAGCCGAUGUCGGAUUAGCUAGUUGGCGGGGUAAAGGCCCACCAAGGCGACGAUCCGUAGCUGGUCUGAGAGGAUGAUCAGCCACACUGGAACUGGGACACGGUCCAGACUCCUACGGGAGGCAGCAGUGGGGAAUAUUGGACAAUGGGCGCAAGCCUGAUCCAGCCAUACCGCGUGGGUGAAGAAGGCCUUCGGGUUGUAAAGCCCUUUCGUUGGGAAAGAAAAGCAGCAGGUUAAUACCCCGCUGUUCUGACGGUACCCAAAGAAUAAGCACCGGCUAACUUCGUG